CCUACGGGAGGCAGCAGUGGGGAAUAUUGGACAAUGGGCGAAAGCCUGAUCCAGCCAUGCCGCGUGUGUGAAGAAGGCCUUCGGGUUGUAAAGCACUUUCAGUGGGGAAGAAAGCCUUGGGGCUAAUACCCUCGAGGAAGGACAUCACCCACAGAAGAAGCACCGGCUAACUCCGUGCCAGCAGCCGCGGUAAUACGGAGGGUGCGAGCGUUAAUCGGAAUUACUGGGCGGAAAGCGCGCGUAGGCGGUCUGAUAAGCCGGUUGUGAAAGCCCCGGGCUCAACCUGGGAACGGCAUCCGGAACUGUCAGGCUAGAGUGCAGGAGAGGAAGGUAGAAUUCCCGGUGUAGCGGUGAAAUGCGUAGAGAUCGGGAGGAAUACCAGUGGCGAAGGCGGUCUUCUGGACUGACACUGACGCUGAGGUGCGAAAGCGUGGGUAGCAAACAGGAUUAGAUACCCCUGUAGUC
rnacentral:rRNA from 1 species